AUACCACAUCCAAAUGGCUCAAGCCGGUGGCUAGAGAUAAGAACUUAGCAGCAUUUUUCUCACCUAGCUGACUGGUUCCCCUUUCUUUAAACAGACACUCCAGGCACUUGUUUGUGAACUUAAAGUGCCCCACAUCCUAUUUCCUUAUGCAUACUGCUAACUGCCAAAAUAUUCUCUCUCUGUCCACCUGACCCUCCAUUCCUGCUUCCUGUGACCUGGGAAUGGAGAAUUACCCUCUGGACUCCUUGUGCCCUCCCUGCUCAGGAUAUCAGCACAGAGGGACGAAGGCAAUUGCCUACCCUGCUUGAGAGAUGCAGAGGCCUGGUGUGGAGUUAGCAGUAUUAUGAGAUUGGAUCAGCCUGGAUCACUGAAUCACUGCAUGUAGGACACACUAUGGAGAGUUUCUUGUGCCAAGAUCAGACAUGGUAUAUGCAAGAAUAAAUGUGUGCGUGAAUCAAACCAGAGGUUGUGUUUAUUUUUUAAUUACUAUAUUGUAUUCUUGCUAACCUGACUAAUCCAGCCAGCAACCUUACAAUUCUAAUUAUCUGACUGUAGAUCCUCCCAGGUUGUCUAUGUACAUAAACUUGUCCUCACUUUGCAAAAGCUAACUAUCUUGUUUCUUUUUUUUCCAAUCAUGUCAACUUAAUUUUGGCUUAUUUGUUUAUUUAUGCACUGAAUGUUGAAUUGAAGAGAUAUGGUGAAAAUAUUUUACUUGCUUUUGAUUUCGAAGGAAAAGCUCUUAAAAUUUACUAUUAAAUGGAAUUAUUAUUGCAAGUUUUUAUAAACUAAGGAAAUUACUUGUGUCAUUCUAUUUAAGAUUCUUUUCAAUUGGAUCAUGCACUGGUAUUGAACAUAAUCUAAUAA
ensembl:lncRNA LINC02573 long intergenic non-protein coding RNA 2573